CGAGUAAGCAGGGCAGUCGCGGGGACAAGGCCGCGAGGCUGUUCCCGAGGAAAGUCCGAGCUCCGCAGGGCAGGGUGCUGGGUAACGCCCAGUGGGGGCGACCCUAAGGCCAGUGCCACAGAAAAUAUACCGCCCGGCACUCAACUCUGACAAACAAUCGGUUCUUCCUGUUGCACAAUAUUGAAAAAAAAUAAUGACGUGCAAUCUGGAGUGAAAGUUUUUUGUUAGAGUUGAGUGCCGGGCAAGGGUGCAACGGUGCGGUAAGAGCGCACCAGGGGCCGGGAGACCGGUUCGCUAGGUAAACCCCACCCGGAGCAAGACCAAGUAGGAGGAGGAUGAGGUUGCCCGCCGACUCCUCGGGUUUGGUCGCUGGAGGCGCCAGGCGACUGGCGUCCAAGAUAGAUGGCUGCCAAAAACAGAACUCGGCUUACCAGCUUGCUCGGGAC
rnacentral:RNase_P_RNA from 1 species